UUUUGUCAUGGAAUAUCUUGGUUUCUCCAUCUAUGUUAAUUGAGAGUUUUGCAGGAUACAGUAACCUGGGCUGGCAUUUGUGUUCUCUUAGGGUCUGUAUGACAUCAGUCCAGGAUCUUCUGGCCUUCAUAGUUUCUGGCGAGAAGUCUGGUGUGAUUCUGAUAGGUCUGCCUUUAUAUGUUACUUGACCUUUUUCCCUUACUGCUUUUAAUAUUCUUUCUUUAUUUUGUGCGUUUGGUGUUUUGACAAUUAUGUGACGGUAGGUGUUUCUUUUCUGGUCCAAUCUAUUUGGAGUUCUGUAGGCUUCUUGUAUGCCUAUGGGUAUCUCUUUUUUUAGGUUAGGGAAGUUUUCUUCUAUGAUUUUGUUGAAGAUAUUUACUGGUCCUUUGAGCUGGGAGUCUUCACUCUCUUCUAUACCUAUUAUCCUUAGGUUUGAUCUUCUCAUUGAGUCCUGGAUUUCCUGUAUGUUUUGGACCAGUAGCUUUUUCCCCUUUACAUUAUCUUUGACAGUUGAGUCAAUGAUUUCUAUGGAAUCUUCUGCUCCUGCGAUUCUCUCUUCCAUCUCUUGUAUUCUGUUGGUGAAGCUUGUAUCUACAGCUCCUUGUCUCUUCUUUUGGUUUUCUAUAUCCAGGGUUGUUUCCAUGUGUUCUUUCUUGAUUGCUUCUAUUUCCAUUUUUAAUUCCUUCAACUGUUUGAUUGUGUUUUCCUGGAAUUCUUUCAGGGAUUUUUGUGACUCCUCUCUAUGGGCUUCUACUUGUUUAUUUAUGAUUUCCUGGAAUUCUUUCAGGGAUUUGUGCGAUUCCUCUCUGUAGGCUUCUACUUGUUCUCUAAGGGAGUUCUUCACGUCUUUCUUGAAGUCCUCCAGCAUCAUGAUCAAAUAUGAUUUUGAAACUAGAUCUUGCUUUUCUGGUGUGUUUGGAUGUUCCAUGUUUGUUUUGGUGGGAGAAUUGGGCUCCGAUGAUGCCAUGUAGUCUUGGUUUCUGUUGCUUGGGUUCCUGCGCUUGCUUCACCAUCAGAUUAUCUCUAGUGUUACUUUUUUCUGCUAUUUCUGACAGUGGCUAGACUGUCCUAUAAGCCUGUGUGUCAGGAGUGCUGUAGACCUGUUUUCCUCUCUUUCAGUCAGUUAUGGGGACAGAGUGUUCUGCUUUCGGGCAUGUAGUUUUUCCUCUCUACAGGUCUUCAGCUGUUCCAGUGGGCCUGUGUCUUGAGUUCACCAGGCAGGUCACUUGCAGCAGAAAAGUUGGUCUUACCUGUGGUCUUGAGGCUCAAGUUCACUCGCGGGGUGCUGCCCUCGGGCUCUCUGUGGUGUGACAGAGAAGCUGACACUGAAACAUGUUCAGUCAGGGACAAGGAGUCCAGCCACAUGGAAAGGCAUAAAUUGACCUUCAGAAAAUCCAGCAGGAUUGAAGAAAUUAUUUAUUCAGGUCAACGUUAAAUGUAGACUGUUCUGGUCAGAAUUGAUCUUGCUCAUGACAGUAUCCAGAGUACCUAGGGACGUAGGCUGACUGCACACCUGAAGGAAUUAUCUAGAGUGAGUUACGCAGGCUGGAGAGAUGGCUCAGAGGAUCACAGCACUGUCUGCUCUUGCAGAGGUUCUCACUUCAAUUCCCAGCACUGACAUCAUGGCUCACGACCAUGAGUAAUGCGAUCCUAGGCCAUCCUCUGGUGCACCGAAACACAGUACACUCAUACACAUAAAAUAAAUAUACUCUUAUGUGGAUUGCUCUCUACAUGCUGCUGACGGUGGGCAAAAGAUGAGGCUACAACCUGAGAUUGGGCAGUGGGAAAGGAAGGCGGGCUGACAGUUUUAGAGAUGGGACAGAGAGACAGAGAAGACACAGGGUUGAGAGAAGAUGGGGAAGAAGGAUCCACUUGACUUGAAGUAGCCACAGGUGACUAUGAAUAUCACAGAAGAAUAGAAUAAUACAGCACAUUUGCCCCAUCCAGGAGUGCAGCUGGUGUUUCUGUCAAAUGAGUUUUGUGAUCUUUGAGUGAUCAUUUUAGGUUGAGUAAUUACUGAUGUAAAUCUGACUGGUAAAUUGCAAGCCUCUAGAGUUUUGAAUUUACUGGGUUCUGGGGAUUCUGGACAGCAGCCACAGGGGGCAUAUGGCUGGAAACAUAAAAGACAUUCAGAGGCAGGAAAAUGGAAGGGAGAAAAACCAUGGUUUACAAAAUCAAUGAGGAGGGAGACUGCAGACUGGACUGUAGCCAGCACUAGUUCAGAUUUUUAUCUUAAAAUUUUUAUUGGAUAUUUCAUGUAUUCACAUUUCAAAUGUUAACCCAUAUCCUGCCCCUCUCACUCUCCUCCCUCUCCCCCUGCCUCUAUGAGGUGCUCCCAGUCCCACGCACCCACUCCCACAUCAACAUCCUGGGGUUUUUCUUCACAGGAACCAGGACUUCUCCUAAUGAUGACAGACAGUGCCAUCCUUUGCUACAGAAGAGUCUUGGGCCAUGAGACCCUCCAUAUCUACUUAACAAUUGGACUUCCUCAUAUUUUGUCAUUACACUAAGAGAGAAAUUGCUCGAAUCUCAGGGUCUUCUUACAUUUUUUCCGUUGCCCACUGAGCCCAGUUGGAUCUGAGUUGACCAAGCAGCCACCAUUCUCUACGGAAGGCAAAUCUUGGAGGGUAAGAACAACGCUGACCUACAGUCAUGGGAACCCAUUUCACUCUAGAUCAUCUUAGAAUUCCCUCAACCACCAGAAUCAUUUUUAGUGUGAUUAACUAAUUAAAUUUUAUCUCAUAAGAGUGUGUCCAAGGGGGGCUGGAAAGAUGACUCAGGGUUUAAGAGCACUGACUGCUUCCAGAGGUCCUGAGUUCAAUUCCCAGCAACCACAUGGUGGCUCACAACCAUGUGUAAUAAGAUCUGAUGCCCUCUUCUGGUGUGUCUGAAGACAGCUACAGUGUACUCAUAUAAAAUAAAUAAAUAAAUUUUAAAAAAAGAAUAUGUUCUAGAUAAACCAAGAACGUGGUCUCUGGUACUUGAAGGAGAACUCCUGUUCUAAAGAAAAACACCCUUGGAGCUUGGAGGACAAGUUCAGUAAAGCAGUGGGGACAGCACUUUCCACCACCACUGACCACCCUAGUUCUAUUCCUGAGCCCCACACAGUGGAAGGAAAGAACCAGGUUCUGCACUGGAUAGUGAGAUCCUAAGAAAAUAACCAGGAUUGCUGGGUGCACUGGUUGAGACGUCUGCACAGAGCUGCCCUAAUCAAAGGUGUCUUGAAUCUGUGAUCUGCCUGAUGGAACCCUGAAUGCUUCUCCUGCUGCUGAGGGCAGCCGUGGCCUGGAACCUGACCAGAGAGGUCAAUGUGGUAUCUGGACUGAAGAGGGGAGAGUCUGAGGGGGUGUGCUGAGGAUGCGGUGGGGUGUGCUGGGGCUGUGGUGUAGGGGUGGUAGAGUAGAACCAGGGUAGCUGCUUCCCCAUGUUGCCCAUGAGCCCCAGACCCUCUGGUGGAGUCCUGAGCUCUGCACCUACCCCCACUCCCAGAAUGCACUCCUGCCUGUGGGUUCUGGAAGAGGUGGGAGUUACACCUUGUACUGCUCUCAGGCUCUCACUUAUUUUGGUAUUUUGUCACUACCCCAUCACCAGUGACACAUAGUUCCUGUGCGCACUGUGUCCACAGUGAUGACAGUGAUGCAGGAAGUCUCAGGAUGGAACCUCUCACGCUGCUGGUGGAGCACAAGACUGCAGAGUUUUGGGAGCAAGAGACACACAGUGGAAAAGGUGAAGAGCAGACCUUAGGAGUGAACCUGAGGGCCCUGCUGAGUUACUACAACCAGAGCCAGGGCCAAGACCUCUCUGCUUCACUAGCAGAGUUCCUGUCCAGUCUCUGGGAGCCCUGAUUGAUUACUGUGGUGUACAUGGAUGGCACACGGUUAAAUCGCUUGGAUAGCGACCUGGAGAAUCCCAGGAUGGAGCCAGGGACGGGGUUGAUGGCCGGCCAGGGUCAGAGUAUUGGGAUCCCGAGAAGCAGAGAGCAAUGGCUGUGGACCAGACUUACCUGAUGAAUUUGAGGACAGCCCUGCACUACUACAACCAGAGGAACCAGAGAAGCAGUGAGGCAAGGCUGAGGACUAGAAUUACCCUGAGAACUUGUGGACAGCCCUGCAGUACUACAACCAGAGCAAGGGCGGUGGCCGCUCCCUUUCACUUUGCACUGGAGUAAUAGGACCCAUGUGCCCUGUCUGAGGUUUGUCCCAAACCUGAGGGACACAAGGGGACCCAAGAUCUGGGACCCACUUUCACUUUAAGUGAAGGGAUUCCUAGGUCUGGGCUAACUGAGGAGUCCCUAGGGCUCUCACACUCUCCACAGCUUGAAUGGCUGUGACUUGAGGUUUGACCAGAGCUUCCAAUGAGGGUAAUGGCAGCUCGCCUAUGACUGUAAUAGCUUAUAUCGCCCUGAAGGAAAACCUGACAGUAUGGACCGCGAUGAACACGGCUGGACUGAUUACCCGACACAAGUGGGAGCAGGCUGGUGCUGCAGAACUUUACAAGGCCUACCUGGAGGGCUAGCUCCUGGGGUGGAUGCUCACUUACAGGGAGCACUGGAAGGAGAAGCUGCUGUGCACAGGUAAAGAGGACCCGGGAUUCUCCAAUCUCUGCCCUUGGGCUGGGGCUCAGUCCUGGGGAACAAGAAGCCCUCAGCUGUGGUGUUGCUGCUGACUCCUCCUGUUUUGCUCUUUGGAAAUGUUACUUCCUUGGUCUUUAAUUUCUUCAGUCCUUUGUGAAGUGGGGGCUUUAUUCCCUUGUGUGCAGUGCAGCUGGUGCAGAAUUUCUCCUGCUCUGGCCUCUGUUCCCUCUGCUGGUCCUGUCCUUUUCUGUGUGGAGAAUUUAUGACCAUGCUGACACAGGACCUCAUGAGCUCCUGUGCACUGCUGUUCUACCUCAAGUCCUUCCCCACUCCAUUACUAAAUGGUGUCCCCUAGGUUUUCUGUGGGAAGUUUUUCAAUUUUUAAGCUAAGGUCUUGAGUGAUUUCAACUUUGAUGUUGAACAAAGUGAGAGGUGAAAAUCUAAAUUCAUUUCUUCAGAACAACUAUCAUGAAAUUAUAUCUAGUAUGGGAUAUUUCCUCCCAUAUCUUAUCUUGUAUGCUCUGUGGAAUAUUGAGAAUGCAUAGCGUUGAUAGUUCAUGUCCAAAAUCUCUAACCAUGGCUUUGAUUUUCCUGUCGUUUUUAUGCCAAUUCCACCUUGUUCCCCUCACUACAGCUCUGCCUUCCCUGUGAGGCUGAGACUGAAACCCCUCCAGUCUGAUUCCUUAGACUACGUGGCUCUGUGUAGUCUUUUGUAUUAUUUUCUAAAUCUAUCAAAUGAAUGAGAAUCAUAAAUUAGUUCAUUAAGUCUGCAGGGUUCUUUAGUAGAAUGGCCAUUUUUAUAACAUUAACACUGCCAGUUUUUUUGGGGGGGGGCCAAUUCAUCAGAUACAAUUUACAACCUAACAGUAUAAAGCCCAAUACACCUCCCUCCCUUAAAAGCAUUUGAAACAAGCUGUGAAGGUCCAGCGGGGAAUCUUAACCUGACCUGCCAUGUUGUCCUCUAACUCUGCCAGUCUUGAAGCAAGGGCUUUAGCUCCACCUUCAGACAUCCUCCUGACUGAUUUCCUGUCACAGUACCUUAACGUCAGCAAGGUAGACUUCUGUCCUUUCCUUGCUUUGAUAGAUCCCUGAACUCUUAAUUCUUUCAGAGAUAUUUUCAAUGACAUGUUUUCCCUCAUGUCCUCCUCUGAGAAAACACUGUUGUGUAAGGGAAGGCUACGUGUUUUUACAUUGAUUUUGUGUCCUUAAACAAUAGGGUUUUCUUAGGUCCAGGAUUUUCCCGUGAUUCACCUGGGUCUAUAAGCAAAGGAUCCUCCUGUUUAGACCAAUAGUUAAUAUGACUUCUUCCUGUCCUAUGCUGAUCCCUUUUAAACCUCUCUUUUGCUUAAGAGUGAAGCAAGUGUAAUUUCCCUCCUUGUGUUUGGCUUUUCCAUCUAUUAUCCUUUGUAGGGCUGAGUUUGUAGAAAGAUAUAGGUAACUUUAGUUUUGUUAUAGAAUAUCUUGGUUUCUCCAUCUACAGUCGCCUGGGCUGGCAUUUGUGUUCUCUUAGGGUCAGUAUGACAUGUGUCCGGGAUCUUUUGGCUUUCAUAGUCUCUGGUGAGAAAUCUCCUGUAAUUCUGAUAGGUCUGCCUUUAUAUGUUACUUGACAUUUUUUCCUUAAUAUACUUUCUUGGUUUUGUGCAUUUGGCAUUGUGACUAUUAUGCUAUGGGAGGAAUUUCUUUUCUGGGCCAAAUUGUUUGGAGUUCUGUAGACUUUUCCUCUGUUUAUGGGCAUCUCUUUCUAUGGGUUUGGGAAGUUUUCUUCUUUAAUUUAGUUGAAUAUAUUCAUGUGCUCUUUAAGUUGGGAGUCUUCACUCUCUUCUAUACCUAUUAUUCUUAGGUUUGAUCUUUUCACUGUGUCCUGAAUAUCCUGUAUGUUUGUAAAAUUCCAUUUUACAUUAUCUUUGAUGGUUGUGUCUAUGUUUUUUGUGGUAUCUGUUGCUCCUGAGAUUCUCUCUUCUAUCUCCUGUUUCCUGUUCAUGAUGCUCGAAUCUAUGACUCCUGACCACUUCUCAUGUUUUCUAUCUCCAGGGUUCUCUCACUUUGGGCUUUCUUUAUUGUUUCUAUUUCCAUUUUUAACUCCUAAGUGAUUUUGUUCAAUUUCUUCUCUUGUUUGGUUGUGUUUUCCUGUAAUUCUUUAAGGGUUUUUUUUUUUCCGGAGCUGAGGUCCAAACCCAGGGCCUUGCAAUUGCUAGGCAAGAGCUCUCUACCACUGGACUUAAUCCCUAACCCCUCUUUAAGGGUUUUUUGUGUUUCUUCUUUAAGGGCUUCUACUUGUUUAAUUGCUUGUCCUGUAUUCCCUUAUGGGAUUUACUGGUUUCCUUCUUAAAGUCCUCCAUCAUCAUGAAAAAAUAUGAUUUUCAACUCUUGCUUUUCUGGUGUGUUUGGAUAUCCAGUGUUGGCUUUAGUGAGAGAACUGGACUCUGAGGCUGCCACCUAGUCUUGGUUUCUGUUGCUUGGUUUCCUGCACUUGCCUCUCACCAUCAGGUUGUCUCUGGUGUUAGCUUGUCUUGCUGUUUCUGAUGGAGAUUUGACCAUCCUGUAGGCCUGUGUGUCAGCACUCCUGUAGACCUGUUUUCCUCUUUUCUUUCAGCCAUAUAGUCACUCCUGGCAGCUGGUUUUCAGCUCUCAGCGAGGGCAGCAACCUUAAGACUCAUGCCCAUCUCUGGUCCUAGGACCCUGUGCACAGGGGUCACAGAUGGCACAAGGCGUUUUCCUCUUGGAUCAGUAAUAUGGGCAGAGAGUAGUCUCCUCUGGUUUUUCAGGAGUACCUGCACCUCUAAGGGUCCAGCUCCCCACCCUCCCCACCCCCAACCCCCCUGGGAUUGGAGUGCAGGGAGCUGUUUGACCAGUUCAGUUCAGUUCUUGAUGCACACCAGAACCACAGGUACUGACAGCUUACUGCUCCUAUAUUCCUGUAUCCAGAGGCACUUAGCAGUUUCCUCUUGGGCCAGGGAUGUGGGCAAAUGUAGGCAGAAGUGGAAGUCUGUCCUGUAGUCUCAGGAUUGUCCCCACUUCUGGGUGCUCAGCUCUAUUUCCCUAGGGUUUGGGAAUGGGUAGUUUUGGGAUUGGGCAGUCAAUGGUCUUAAUCUCAGAGCCAUCAUUCCAGGAUGUCUAGUCUUGAUGAGAACAUAUGUAAACAUUCUCGGUUUUAAGCUUCUUAUUCAAUGUAUAAUUUGAAUAUAUAUUUGAGCUUUUAGAGAACUUUUGUAAUUUAAAAAAAACGAUGCUUGGAAAAGUCAUAGAAUCUAUUCCCCUAGAAAAGUAGAAAAAACUAGCAAGGAUGACAUUGCAUGACAUUAUUACUCCAGAGCAGGGGGAGAGAGCAAGAUUAGGAGGAAGAAGGAGAAGGAAAGACAAGUAGAAUAAUUUAGAAAUUAAAAGGGAAUUUUGAAAUUAAGGGUUUUUUGUUUGUUUUUGGAGGAUUUCUGGAGAGAGGAUAUUUGAAGAGGUUUUAGAGAAGAAGAAUGUAGAAAUAAAGAUGAAUAUAACUUUUCAAAGUGUCCCUUUUUCUUCCUCUCAAUUUCACUCAGAGUCUGAGCUGGUAAAUUACUGCAGAGAUAAGGACAGGAUACUUUACUUAGCAGAAAGGGCUAGCUGCUUUACAGUGAAACAGGGACCCAGGAAGAAACCCUUGUGGAGGGCGAGUGUUUCAGCAGGGAAUCAAAUCCUGCAAAAGCUGGAGAUUAGGGCAGUGGGGGAGGGUGGUGGAGGUGCCUAAGCUCCUCCAAGUGAUGCAUGUUUUUUCCUGUUGACACAAACCCAGUGUCUGCUCUGUGUUCACACCCCAGGUAGUGCAGGCCCUUAAUAACAUAUCAGAGAGAGGUUCUGUUGAUCCUCAUUGAGGAGUAGGGAUAGGGAUAGUCUCUCUUCAACCUUCUUUCUGUCCAGGUUCCAGAUAGGUGGAAGGUGAUCCUAAUCAGUGCUGAGAAGUCAGAUCCACUCACCAGAGAAACCGCUGUCCUGCUGCCACUGCGCUGUGUGUGCACCCAUGCAAAACCUUUAAUGAAUUUGCAAAAAUAAAAGUAACCCCACAGUUUUAGCAUCAAGAUGUUGAAUGUAGAGUUUAAAGCUCCCGUGAUAUUGACACAGUCCAAAAAAGUCUUGACUGGUUUAUUUUCUCUGCCAGUCAGGCAAAUAAGUCAGGAAAAAUCUCAAGAGCAAGUGCCAGCCGCAGAGAAAACUCCAACAUUGCAUAGAAUUUGCAGUUGAAGAAAGCCGUUUAUUGUGGCUCAUGAACCACAUGUAGGAGAAACAGGAGAGAGUCUCUCUGGGUCUGCAGAUCUUUCUGUCCUCAGUCCCAAGUCCUCCUCACCAAUAGUCAAUCAACAGUCAAGGGAACUGAAGGGCAGGGAGGGUACAGCUAAAAGGUCAGACUCUUGUCAGGUUGGCCUGGGGUGGAGAGGCUGUGGGCUCAUUCCUGGGGAUAGUGUCUUGCCACAAGCCAUCCUUCUGAGGACUCCUUCUCCCUUUUCACUCUGCUAUAGCCAGACUCCUUUCUGUGCCUACACUACUCCUGACCAUUAGCAUAUAGGAAGGGGUGGGUGGGCAGGUGAGGGCUGAUGGGGAUGUGGUCACACCACUCUUUAUCCCAUAAGUGUCAUUAAGAGAUAUUUGGAACAAAACCCGGUGGGUUUUUUUUCUGGUUUGGUUUGUGUUUUUGUUGUUGUUUGUGUGUUUGUGUGUUGUGUGUGAAAUUAUUUUAUGAUGGUGGGGAGUGAGGGUGUGUGCAUGCAUUCCACCAAGCACUUGUGACAGCCUCAGAAGACAUUUCAAGAGACUGGCUUCUUCCUUCCUGAGGAUCCCUGGGAUCACACCCAUGUCCUCAGGUGUGGCACAGAGCCUGUCUUGAUGGCCCUCUGUAUUGUUUUUAUACUUUUAUGUGUGUGGCUCCCCUUCAGAGAUCACCAGUCGGGGGCCGAGAAUCACUGUCAACCUUUCUAGGUGACAAGACUUAAUGUGCAGAAGGAGAAGCUCCUGUACCUCAGAAGAGCGUCAUCCAUGGGGCCCCAAGAGAACCUAAAAGAUGCCAAAUACUGUGCAACUGCGUGGGAAUCAUUAAGAGACAGUCAAUAAGAAAUUACAUCCAGGUUAACACAAAUGAAAAUGCAGAAGGAACAAGCAGCUGAAAGCUUUGUAAAUGAAGCCACCAUCUUUCUGAUAAAUUAAAAGAGAAAUAGAAGAAGACCCACUGCCGCGUGCAGGCUGACCAAUUCUGCUGUCAUCCAGUUUCAGAUCCAGCAGGUCGAGUCAGUCCACCCCAACAUCUCCUCCAUCUGUGAGCUGCCAGGUCAGGGGGAGGAGCCAUGUCUGCAGAACCAGAUCCAGGAGCAGAUCCUGAAGCAUGGCUGUGAUUGAAGCUGCCUCCCCCCUGCAGCCUGCAGUGCUGGAGCCCAAGAUAGUCAUGGAGGCUCCCUUGAGGUGAGGGCUGGAGAGGAGUCUGCAGAGACCGAGUGUCUCUGGAAACACUAGAGAAGGGAAUGUCCAGGGAAAGACGCCUUUGCACAGCGAACUCACAAAAUUGGAAGGAGAGAUGGAGGAACAGAGCUAGGUGUCAAGGGUGGAAAGAAGAAACUAAGGACUGAGAUGCUCUGGUCCACGCUGAGCCAGAAACUAAACUUGCCUGCAGCUGAGCUGCUGACUACAAAGGGCUGGUCUCAGGAGCCAGGCAGGGUCUUCUGGUCCAGUAGGAAAAUCUGCUCUGCACACUUGGCCCUCUUUAUCUCCAGCUCCCAGUACUCAGGCUCCUCCUGCCAUAUCCAGGAAGCCCUGGGUUCGUAAUUUCUUGUCCCUGUGGAAGCUCACCAAAUAGUUGUUGUCCCCCUAGCCUUCCAAGGACCAGGGCUCCUCCAGGACAAGGCAGUGAGGACAUACCACAGUGAGUGUGAUCCUGUGGAGUGUAGGGGUGAGGCCCAGACCUCCUCCAGGGACUCCAAGGGAAUGCAAGGGUCUGAAGGGGAAUACUGCACAUGACUGGGGACACAGGUAGAAUAGUAUCAGGUGCUAUGGUCAGAAACGUAGGGGCGUGGCUUCCCCAGUGGCCACGCCCCCUCUGCUCUACAGAGGCCAUUUUCCUCCCCCUCCCUGCUUGUACUCACAGGUGCUAUACUGGAUAGGGACCAGGGAAGCCCCCAGGAAGGCAGAUCUUGAGAUGCAGGGCAGGUUUGAUUCCUGGGGAUCUGUGCAGACUUUAUAACCCAUGCCCGUAGACAAGCUGGCUGCUUUGUCAGGAUCUCCCUAUCCAAUGCGGGUCAUUAUAGCCAACUUGUCAUCAGUGCCAGUGCAGAAGGACUUCACCGAGGGUGUGGAUGGGGCAUGAGACUAGGGAGAUGGGAAAGAGCUUGCUAUGUCUACUCCAUCCCAGACCUCAACAGCAGACUUGUCCAGACCCUGUGAUGCUGGAGAGAGCACUGGCAUGUCCCCUUCUCCCCACACCUUUCCUAAUCUGGAAUUGAGAAGAGACCUACAGGAAAAUCUUAUUUCUUCAUCUCCUUCCUCCUUCCUCUUCUUCUUUCCCUUCCUAUCAUAAGACCCCAAACUCUGGAUUUUAAAGUUAAUUACAUUACUGUAUGAGCAUGUGCCCAUGUACAUACAUGCAUUUGUGUAUGCGUGUGUGUAUGUGAGUGUAUGUGCAUGUCUGUCUGUCUGUCUGUCUGUCUGUCUGUCUGUCUUUUUGCAUGUGUUCCCAGCCAUCAUCUGGUGGCAUUUGGUUGGCAGUGGUUAUCAGAAGCUUCUGUGUGCUAGGCACUAGGGAUGUGGUGCUGUGACCCUGGAGUUCACUGUGGGAUGAAGGGUCCAAGAGCAGCGGGCACUUUGUUCAGUAGCUUGUCCCAGGUACACAGAUACUAAGAAUUGGAUUAAAAAUUAAGGUCAUCUAAGAAGAAGGAAGACUGAAAUGUGGAUGCUUCAGUGCUGCUCAGAAGGAGAACAAAAUACUCAUGGGAGGAAAUAGAGGGACAAAGAGUGGAGCAGGGAUUGAAGGAAAAGUCAGCCAGAUCUGCUGCUCCUGGGCAUCCCUCCCUUAAGCAGCCACAUAACCCAGUCACUAUUGCUGAUGCCAAAAUGUGCUGGCUGACAGGAGCCUGAAGUAGAUUCCUCCUGAGAGGCUCUGCCACAGCCUUAUUGAUACAGAUGAGGAUGCUUGCAGCUAACCAUGUCACUGAGCAUGGGGAACCCAAUGGAAGAGUUAGAGAAAGGAUUGAAGGAGCUGAAGGGAUUUGUAUCCUCAUAGGAGGAACAACAAUAUCAACCAAACAGAUCCCUCCAGAGCUCCCAGGCACUAAACCACCAACCUACAAGUAGACAUGGAGGGUCUCAUGGCC